CCAUUUUGGUUAAGGGCAAGGAAGAAUUUGUGGGGUGAAGAUUUCUUAAACAAAACCUGCUAACGUUCUCUUUUACCUUCUUCGUAAGAAAGGACCAACUUCUACUAAAUUUUACUUACUAUAGCUCUGUUGAAAAUACCAAUGAUGAAAGAGAACAGAUUCAUCUAAAAGAGACGUUCAUGAGCAGCCAUCUUAGCUAUGGGCAAUAUAGUCUCCUCCUCCCCCACCGGUCGCCUUAUGUGUGAACAGCCGAACUCCCACAAGUCUCAGAAUUUGUGCACUUAAGAUCAGAAGGGCUGCCCUUCCUCAGCACUGGGCCUAUUAUGUCCCCUUGGACUCCGGCGGAUUCUACCCCCAAGAAGUAGACUUCAGAAAGUUUAAAAUCACGUUGCUUCCUGAGAAAGGUCGAACAAUUUCUAAUAUGAAAAAAAGGAAUAUUGCUCCGCUCACAAUAUUAAGCCCCUCUGUUAUAUCUGGUCAGAAUCGACUCCACGGCAAC